rnacentral:rRNA from 1 species
GACGAACGCUGGCGGCGUGCUUAACACAUGCAAGUCGAACGGUAAGGCCCUUCGGGGUACUCGAGUGGCGAACGGGUGAGUAACACGUGGGUGAUCUGCCCUGCACUUCGGGAUAAGCCUGGGAAACUGGGUCUAAUACCGGAUAGGACUCCUGGCUUCAUGGUUGGGGGUGGAAAGCUUUUGCGGUGUGGGAUGGGCCCGCGGCCUAUCAGCUUGUUGGUGGGGUAAUGGCCUACCAAGGCGACGACGGGUAGCCGGCCUGAGAGGGUGACCGGUCACACUGGGACUGGGAUACGGCCCAGACUCCUACGGGAGGCAGCAGUGGGGAAUAUUGCACAAUGGGCGCAAGCCUGAUGCAGCGACGCCGCGUGAGGGAUGACGGCCUUCGGGUUGUAAACCUCUUUCAGCUAUGACGAAGCGCAAGUGACGGUAGUAGCAGAAGAAGGACCGGCCAACUACGUGCCAGCCGCCGCGGUAA